GAUGAACGCUGGCGGCGUGCCUAAUACAUGCAAGUCGAGCGAACAGACGAGGAGCUUGCUCCGCUGACGUUAGCGGCGGACGGGUGAGUAACACGUGGAUAACCUACCUAUAAGACUGGGAUAACUUCGGGAAACCGGAGCUAAUACCGGAUAAUAUAUUGAACCGCAUGGUUCAAUAGUGAAAGACGGUUUUGCUGUUACUUAUAGAUGGAUCCGCGCCGCCUUAGCUAGUUGGUAAGGUAACGGCUUACCAAGGCAACGAUGCGUAGCCGACCUGAGAGGGUGAUCGGCCACACUGGAACUGAGACACGGUCCAGACUCCUACGGGAGGCAGCAGUAGGGAAUCUGCCGCAAUGGGCGAAAGCCUGACGGAGCAACGCCGCGUGAGUGAUGAAGGUCUUCGGAUCGUAAAACUCUGUUAUUAGGGAAGAACAAAUGUGUAAGUAACUAUGCACGUCUUGACGGUACCUAAUCAGAAAGCCACGGCUAACUACGUG
rnacentral:rRNA from 1 species